CCGAGGUUCAGCGCUCGGGUGAGAAGCUGGUGGCGUCGGCAGGUUCCAGACGGUUCGAGGCGAUUCGAGCUCCAGCUAGGAUGAUCGAGGUUGUUUGCAACGACCGUCUGGGGAAGAAGGUCCGCGUUAAAUGCAACACGGAUGAUACCAUCGGGGACCUUAAGAAGCUGAUUGCAGCCCAAACUGGCACCCGUUGGAACAAGAUUGUCCUGAAGAAGUGGUACACGAUUUUUAAGGACCACGUGUCUCUGGGGGACUGUAUCCUUUGUGUGACUUUUUGAGGAAGCAUCUACAUACCCAGCCUCGGUUAUCUUUGUUCAAAACUAAAGUCUGCAUGAGCUUAUGCAUAUUAAGUGUUUAACUUAAUACGUGGCACAUGGUGAGCACUUAGAAAAUGGGAGCUAGGUAAUUAUUUGGUUGGGGAGGAGGGUGGUUGGUGAAAUAGUUUGACUUCAAGUUCAAAAUAUUUAUUACUGACCUCCACCUGGGUGCUGGAUAGUAGGUCAGGGUGGAGUGUGAGACUCAGGCAUAUCUAUUGUGCAGAAGGAACAGAAACUUUUUAAAAUUUUUAUUUUAUUUAUUUUUUUUUUUGAGACAGUCUGGCUCUGUCGCCCAGGCUGGUAUGCGGUGGCACGAUCCUGACCUACUGCAACCUCCACCUCCCGGGUUCAAGCAAUUCUGCCUCAGCUUCCCAAGUAGCUGGGAUUACGGGUGUGUGCCACCACUCCCUGCUAGUUUUUGUAUUUUUAGUAGAGAUGGGGUUCCACCAUGUAUGCCAGGCUAGUCUCAAACUCCUGGCCUCAAGUGAUCCUCCCGCCUUGGCCUCCCAAAGUGCUGGGAUUAUAGCCGUGAGCCACUGCGCCUGGCCUAGAAGGAACAGAAACUUUUUUUUUUUUUUUUUUUUUGAGAUGGAGUUUUGCUCUUGUUGCCGAGGCUGGAGUGCAGUGGUACAAUCUUGGCUCACUGCAGCCUCUACCUGCCAGGUUUAAGUGAUUUUCCUGUCUCAGCCUUCCAAGUAGCUGGGAUUACGGGUGCCCACCACCACACCCAGCUAACUUUUUGUAUUUUUAAUCUUCCUGCCCCUCUUUCCUCUCCCAUCCUCAUCCCCCACACUGGGAUAGGUGCU
rnacentral:sRNA from 1 species